rnacentral:tRNA from 1 species
GCCAAUUUGGCUCAGUGGAUAGAGCAUCAGCCUGUGGACUGAAGAGACACCCAGGUUCGAUUCCGGUCAAGGGCA